rnacentral:rRNA from 1 species
GAUGAACGCUAGCGGCAGGCCUAACACAUGCAAGUCGAGGGGCAACAGGAGUAGCAAUACUUGCUGGCGACCGGCGCACGGGUGAGUAACGCGUAUGCAACCUACCCAUAACAAGGGGAUAGCUUCCGGAAACGGGAAUUAAUACCCUAUAGUAUCCCGAUGGUGCAUGCCAAUGGGAUUAAAACUACGGUGGUUAUGGAUGGGCAUGCGUGCCAUUAGUUAGUUGGCGGGGUAACGGCCCACCAAGACGAUGAUGGCUAGGGGGUCUAAAAGGAUGAUCCCCCACACUGGUACUGAGACACGGACCAGACUCCUACGGGAGGCAGCAGUGAGGAAUAUUGGUCAAUGGGCGAGAGUCUGAACCAGCCAUGCCGCGUGCAGGAAGACGGCCCUAUGGGUUGUAAACUGCUUUUGUUUGGGAAUAAAAGGCGCUACGUGUAGUGCACUGAAGGUACCAGAUGAAUAAGCAUCGGCUAACUCCGUGCCAGCCGCCGCAGUAACAC